GUGAGGAAUAUUGGUCAAUGGACGAGAGUCUGAACCAGCCAAGUCGCGUGAAGGAAGACGGUUCUAUGAAUUGUAAACUUCUUUUGUGCAGGAAUAAAGUGGGUUACGUGUAACCUUUUGUAUGUACUGUACGAAUAAGGAUCGGCUAACUCCGUGCCAGCAGCCGCGGUAAUACGGAGGAUCCGAGCGUUAUCCGGAUUUAUUGGGUUUAAAGGGUGCGUAGGUGGAUUGAUAAGUCAGCGGUGAAAGUUUGCAGCUUAACUGUAAAAUUGCCGUUGAAACGGUCGGUCUUGAGUGCAAAUGAGGUAGGCGGAAUGUGUUGUGUAGCGGUGAAAUGCUUAGAUAUAACACAGAACUCCGAUUGCGAAGGCAGCUUACUGGGAUGCAACUGACACUGAUGCACGAAAGCGUGGGUAUCAAACAGGAUUAGAAACCCGGGUAGUCC
rnacentral:rRNA from 1 species